rnacentral:ncRNA from 2 species
ACAGUGCAUCAAGAGUAGUCCAAAGGACUACAGCAACCGAGUCAAAACUUGAUCACGGUGCUGGUUUCCCGGGAGAAACGAUGCGGCUUAUCCAAUCUUGGCAUAAGCAAAAAUAACAAGCCUC